UGACGAAUCUGAAGUAGCUUAAUGAGAUAACCUGCGAAAAUACAACUGACCCUGAGGCAGAAAGCGCCCUCCUUCCUUCCUCUGAUGUUUACCUUGGGUUUCGGGGUGACUGGACUGACCACAGAACUCUUCUGAGAUCCUGUCUUCUCCUGUGAUGUGUUCCUGCUGCCACGGGGAAUUCAAUGCACGGCAUAAAGCAGUACAGAGGCCAAUACUAUGUUCCCUCCAACUGGUCUUCAUUAUGUGAUAUCCUUUCUCUAGAGCUAAGCCAGGAGGUCGAUCAGAAAGACCCACGGGACAGAAUUCACUACUAGUGUCAAUAUGGGUAACCCCGUGGAGGAGCAUGGAGGUGUACACUCCUUCUUGAGCUGAUUACAAGUCUGGAUGGUCAACCUUUGGGCCAGGUUUGACUUUCUGGAUUUUUAUGUUAAAGAAAACAAAACUACCGCUUUUUCAAAUAAGCCGACUCUUCUU
rnacentral:lncRNA from 1 species